UACAGAGGUCCCGAGCGUUGUUCGGAUUCACUGGGCGUAAAGGGUGCGUAGGCGGCUUUGCAAGUCUGAUGUGAAAUCUCCGGGCUCAACCCGGAAAUGGCAUUAGAAACUGUGAGGCUGGAGGCUUGGAGGGGGAACUGGAAUACUUGGUGUAGCAGUGAAAUGCGUAGAUAUCAAGUGGAACACCAGUGGCGAAGGCGAGUUCCUGGACAAGUCCUGACGCUGAGGCACGAAAGCUAGGGGAGCAAACAGG
rnacentral:rRNA from 1 species